UUGUUCCCUUUUCCUGCAGCGCCGGGGGUUGUGCUGGGGUCUCACUCAGGUGAGGCAGGGCGGUACUGCUGAGCUGGCAGCGCCAAACUUCAGUUUUGCUGCUGGGGAGUCUAAGGUGCUGUCUCACUAUGCCCAUAGCGCUUUUCCCCCACUCUCGUUUCCUCUGGUCCCUGGGGACAUCGCCCAUCCCCCUCGCAUGCUUGUUUGGCCUAUGGUCUGCUACUAAGUGAGCCGUCUUUCUGCUGCUCCUCAUUUUCCUUCUGUGGGUUUCCGAGACUGGGUCUCGGGUAUUAUACCAGGCUGGCCGUGAGCUCGCUGUGUAGCCACAGUGACUGGGAACUUCCGGUUCACCCAUCUCAUUUCUCCAUUUCAAGGCUUGUGGGUGACACUGCCACCCCCAGCUUAGUUUUAUUUCUUUUUCUCGUCGAGCUACCAAACGCUGUAAAUGUUUUCGAUGUUGACCUCCCUCCCACACUGAGAAGUUGCCAGCUCUCUUCUAGUCUGUUACCCAUUAACUCAGUGCAUGCAGUCUUUGGGUGACGCAAUCUCUCGCUAGGCCUCUCCCUUACCUCCCUGGCCCUUGUGGUCUGUGUUGAGAGAAGUCAGAUGUGACACACGGAGCCGAGUGUCGAAAACAGGCAGUGCUGAUUCCACACAGGCUAUGAAGCACCGUGAAAGGUGACAGCGGAAAGUGGUCACAAGGAUUGGGAACACUGCAGAGGGGAACACUUAAGAUCAACCCCGUGAAGACGACGGAGAGAUGGCUCAGGGGUGAAGAGCAUUUGCUGUGCAAUCGUGAGGACGAGAAUGUGAACGUCAGCACCCAUAAGACAAGGAAGGCAUUCCCGAAAAUGCCUGUAGGGCAAGGACCCGAGUCACACCGGCACAGCAGUGAGCAGGAGAACACCACGCAGGAGGCGGAGGUAGCUCAAGCCAACACUUACCGGUUGUGUAAACUGAAGUCUAGCAAAAAAACCUUAAAGUCAUUCCUUUAGUAGUCAAAUUCACGGAAAGGAGAAAUAAGAACGGUGGCUUCCAGGACGUGGGAAGAGGGGGAAAUGUGGCGCCAGUGUUCAUUUACUAGACACAGAAUUCCAAAUGGAGAUGUAAAAGUUGAGGGACUGUAGUGGUGAUGGCUGCACUACAGUGGCUAAAAUGGCAAAUUUUAUGUUGUCUGUGUUUCACUGUGACUGUAAGGAAGGAAAGCAAAGACAACCCAGCCAACCUUUGUAUUUGU